GUUAUACAAUAAAUAUUAAUUAAUAUUUUUGGUUUAAUGAAGUUAAAUUUGUUUUAUUUUUGAAUUUAAUUUAUUUAUUUUUAGGUGAAAUUUAAAUUUUUAUUAGAUUUUUUAUGAUUCUUUAAAGUGUAUAUAUUAAACUAGGAUUAGAUACCCUAUUAUAAUACAUUUAAUUUUUACCAGGGUACUAUUAGUUAUUUUCUUUAAACCUAAAGAAUUUGGCGGUGUUUUAGUCUAUUUAGAGGAAUUUGCCCCUUAAUCGAUAGUCCCCGAUUUAUCUUGCUUUUAUUUGUUUAUCAGUAUGUAUACCUCCGUUAUAAGUUUAUUUUAUAAGGAUAAAAAUUUACUUUAUUCUUUUAUUUGAAUUAUUUC
rnacentral:rRNA from 1 species